rnacentral:sRNA from 1 species
GCCAGGUGCAGUGUGCACACCUGUAAUCCCAUUGACUCUGGAGGCCGAGGCAGGAGGAUCACAAGUUGAAGGUCAGCUUGGGCAACUUAACAGGAUCCUGUCUCAA